AAAAGUCGUCUGUAAUGGAGUGGAGGUGUCAUUCCAGGGCCAGGAGUGGCGGGGUUUCCCCAGUUACUCCAGAAGCUCAAAUACCUAUAUCUGUUCUAGUAGGAGAAAUAUGCAGCUUUUAGUGGCCAAGUGUCCAAGAUUUUCUGAGCCAGUCCUGGUUUGAGGCAGGACUUUGGGAGGACUCUCUUAAAGGAGUCACUUCUGAAGGAGGUAUAGCUGAAAUUACUCAAUCCAAGUUGAAAUCGGGUGUCCUGACCACUCCUGGAGAUUCAGACCUCAUUUAUCCUUGUUCCUUCAGAAGUUAUCUCAGUUGGCUGCAAGUUCUCCUCAAGAGAAUGCUAUUGGUCAACACAUUGUUACUCUGAGCCAGAAGGCAUUGGCAGACAGUCAUUUAACUGAAGAGAGUCUGAAAGUCGUAGAUAUUCCUGAACCAGAUGACCAGAACACUGGGAUACCAACAGCCCCUGCUCCUUCCUACUCACAUAGAAGAAGCCCAGUAAUUUAUACCAAGAAGUCUUGCCAGAAGGUCAUCUACUGGUCAGCCACUGGCAUCCUAUGACCAGAAGACUGGGAAAGCAACAUUAUCUUCUACUUCCUACCCACAUAAAGAGAAGACCACUAUUUUCUACCAGCAGGCAUUGCCAGAUAGUUAUUUAACUGAGGAAGCUCCAAAAUGUUCAGUGAAUUGACGUCUCAAGAACUUUUUUUUUGGACAUGCUGGGACUUGAACUCAGGGUCUUGCACUUACUUACCAGGCAAGCACUCUACCCCUUGAGCCAUACCCCCAGCCCAUUUAGUUCUUUUUCAUAUAGGUCAUUGUGCUUUUUACCUGGACUGACCUUAAACCAUGAACCUUCCAAUCUCUACAUUUUGAGUAGCUGAGAUUACAGAUAUGUACCACCAGGCCUGGCUCUCGAGAACUUUUAAUAAGUUGUAGGAUUAAGAGCACAUGCUGAGCACUGUGAUAGGCAUUAACUUGCACAUACUGCUUUCC